UACAGAGGCCUCAAGCGUUGGUCGGAUUCAUUGGGCGUAAAGGGUGCGUAGGUGGCGCCGUAAGUCGGGUGUGAAAUUUCGGAGCUUAACUCCGAAACUGCAUUCGAUACUGCGGUGCUUGAGGACUGGAGAGGAGACUGGAAUUCAUGGUGUAGCAGUGAAAUGCGUAGAGAUCAUGAGGAAGACCAGUGGCGAAGGCGGGUCUCUGGGCCGAUACUGACGCUGAGGAGCGAAAGCGUGGGGAGCAAACAGG
rnacentral:rRNA from 1 species